GCUGGUUGGCUGCUCUCUCUCACUUAACGGUGUGUUGUGUUUCCUGAUGGUCGCUAGCUACACCUGAGCUAGAACUCUUUCUCUCUCUGUCUCCACAUCCUACAAUAAGUGUUCCACAUCCUACAAUAAGUGAAGAUGGCGGGAGGCAGCGUGAAGACAUUGAUGGUGAUGAUGGUGAUGAUGGUGGGUGGUGACCUAGCUUCUGCCGCCGUGUACAGGGUGACGCGCCAAGCUGCAACAGGGAACAAAUGUCCUACAGUCGGGAUGCCCUGUGUGGCCCUGCCCUCCUGCCCGCCCUCCUCACCUCACUGCCAACCCUUCAACCAAUGACCUGCAGAUUCUUAGAGAUGCCACGUGUGGUGGCACGCGAGUGUGUUGUGAUACAUCCACC